AGGAGUCGAGGUGGUGCUGCUUGUCUGCACAGAGGUUGGACUGGUUGUCGGAGCUGAGGUUGUGCUGCUUGUCUGCACAGAGAUUGUACUGGUUGUAGGAGCUGAGGUUGCACUGCUUGUGUGCACAGGGGUUGCACUGGUUGUAGGAGUCGAGGUUGCACUGCUUGUGUGCACAGGGGUUGCACUGGUUGUAGGAGUCGAGGUGGUGCUGAUUGUGUGCACAGAGGUUGGACGGGUUGUCGGAGCUGAGGUUGUGCUGCUUGUCUGCACAGAGGUUGAGCUCGUUGUAGGAACUGAGGUGGUGCUGCUUGUCUGCACAGGGGUUGCACUGGUUGUAGGAGCCGAGGUGGUGCUGCUUGUCUGCACAGAGAUUGUACUGGUUGUAGGAGCUGAGGCUGUGCUGCUUGUCUGCACAGGGGUUGAGCUCGUUGUAGGAGCUGAGGUUGUGCUGCUUGUCUGCACAGAGAUUGUACUGGUUGUAGGAGCUGAGGUUGCACUGCUUGUGUGCACAGGGGUUGCACUGGUUGUAGGAGUCGAGGUGGUGCUGCUUGUGUGCACAGGGGUUGCACUGGUUGUAGGAGUCGAGGUGGUGCUGAUUGUGUGCACAGAGGUUGGACGGGUUGUCGGAGCUGAGGUUGUGCUGCUUGUCUGCACAGAGGUUGAGCUCGUUGUAGGAACUGAGGUGGUGCUGCUUGUCUGCACAGGGGUUGCACUGGUUGUAGGAGCCGAGGUGGUGCUGCUUGUGUGCACAGAGGUUGCACUGGAUGUGGCCUCAUGGAAGGUGGUCCCUGUGUGCACAGUGACACUCACACUGGAGGUGCUGGUUACUGUGACAGUCGGGGGAGGGCAGUGUUCUUGGGGCUCGCAGCACAGCACUCUGAUCUGGUAGUUGAGGCACAGCCUGGUCUUGCCCUUCUGGUCCUGGUUCCGACACAGCAGGCCCACGUCCUGGUGGCACUGUACCAGCUGGCCCAGCUCGUGGAUGCUGACCCCGGGGUGGUUCUCGGCUCGGCACUCCACUUUGCUGAUGGAUUCAGGUCGGUGGCAGAUGCUGUCUCCAUUCCUCAUGAUGUUGCCGAAGGUUUCAUUGUCUCCCCCGUGGGGCCCGGGCACUGGGAAGUCCACGUCGAGCCAUUUGGUCCACCUGCACUUUGGCUUGCAGGGGGUGGUCCCUGGAGAGGACUGCUCGUGCGUGCUGGGCGUGCCCCAUCUUGAUGGGGUCACGUGAGGUGAGCUAGCAGUGCU
ensembl:lncRNA